rnacentral:sRNA from 1 species
AGCUGUGGUGUAAUCAGUACAGUCUGUAUGCUGACUUAGUUGAUAUACUCUCAACUACAGAUAUGCACUCUUUUUCUCUCUUCUCACUGCUCUUUUCAUCUCUCUUCACUUCUUUUCUCUCACAAUCUUCUUCAGUGCUCUCUUCUCUCUCUUCUUCCAGGUUUGUGCUGAGUCAUAUGACUGCAAGAUGUCACAAGAGACACAGUCUUUUCUUCACUCUUUUCUUUAUUUUUCUUUUCAGAUGUAAUGCACUUGUUUAUUAUUUCCUUAUUAUCUUCGCUUAUUAUCUUCGCUUAUUCUUACCUCUUUCCAUUAUACUCUCGCUACCACUAUUUCUAUAUGUAUAUAUAUAUCGAU